UACGAAGGGGGCUAGCGUUGUUCGGAAUCACUGGGCGUAAAGCGCACGUAGGCGGAUUUUUAAGUCAGGGGUGAAAUCCCGAGGCUCAACCUCGGAACUGCCUUUGAUACUGGAGAUCUUGAGUCCGGAAGAGGUAAGUGGAACUGCGAGUGUAGAGGUGAAAUUCGUAGAUAUUCGCAAGAACACCAGUGGCGAAGGCGGCUUACUGGUCCGGAACUGACGCUGAGGUGCGAAAAGCGUGGGGGAGCAAACAGG
rnacentral:rRNA from 1 species